UAAAUUUCACAAUUAUCUUUCAGAAAGCAAAAAAAUAUUAGCAUGGCCUGUGAGCAAGGAUGACACGCAAAAUCGUGAAGUGUUCCAUAUUAUU
rnacentral:snRNA from 1 species